ACCCGCUGAACUUAAGCAUAUCAAUAAGCGGAGGAAAAGAAACUAACAAGGAUUCCCCUAGUAACGGCGAGUGAAGAGGGAAGAGCCCAAGAUGGAAAGCUGGCGCCUUCGGCGUCCGCAUUGUAAUCUCAAGAACUGUUUUCCGCUUCGGACCGAGCCUAAGUCCCUUGGAAAAGGGCAUCGUAGAGGGUGAGAAUCCCGUACAUGGCUCGGAGCGCCCGAGGCUUUGUGAUACAUUUUCAAAGAGUCGAGUUGUUUGGGAAUGCAGCUCAAAAUGGGUGGUAAAUGCCAUCUAAGGCUAAAUAUUGGGGAGAGACCGAUAGCGAACAAGUACCGUGAGGGAAAGAUGAAAAGAACUUUGAAAAGAGAGUUAAACAGUACGUGAAAUUGCCAAAAGGGAAGGGUAGGAGGUCAGAGAUGCGGUCUGGGAUUCAGCCUUGCUUUUGCUUGGUGUUUUUCCCAGUUUGCAGGCCAACGUCGGUUUUGGGCGCUGGAGAAGGGUGGGAGGAACGUGGGACCCCUCGGGGUGUGUUAUAGCCUCCUACUGGAUACAGUGACCGGGACCGAGGACAGCAGCGUACUCGCAAGAGCGGGCCUUUGGGCACCUUUACGCUUAGGGCGUUGGCAUAAUGGCCCUCUACCACCCGUCUUGAAACACGGACCA
rnacentral:rRNA from 1 species